GACGAACGCUGGCGGCGUGCUUAACACAUGCAAGUCGAACGGAAAGGCUCCAGCUUGCUGGAGUACUCGAGUGGCGAACGGGUGAGUAACACGUGGGUAAUCUGCCCUGCACUCUGGGAUAAGCCUGGGAAACUGGGUCUAAUACUGGAUAUGACCUUUCUCCUUAUGGGGUUUGGUGGAAAGUUUUUCGGUGUAGGAUGAGCCCGCGGCCUAUCAGCUUGUUGGUGGGGUGAUGGCCUACCAAGGCGACGAUGGGUAGCCGGCCUGAGAGGGUGAUCGGCCACAUUGGGACUGAGAUACGGCCCAGACUCCUACGGGAGGCAGCAGUGGGGAAUAUUGCACAAUGGGCGGAAGCCUGAUGCAGCGACGCCGCGUGAGGGAUGACGGCCUUCGGGUUGUAAACCUCUUUCAGCAGGGACGAAGCGUAAGUGACGGUACCUGCAGAAGAAGCACCGGCUAACUACGUG
rnacentral:rRNA from 1 species